GGUGGAUUAGUGGCGAACGGGUGAGUAACACGUGAGCAACGUGCCCAUAACUCUGGGAUAACCUCCGGAAACGGUGGCUAAUACUGGAUAUCUAACACGAUCGCAUGGUCUGUGUUUGGAAAGAUUUUUUGGUUAUGGAUCGGCUCACGGCCUAUCAGCUUGUUGGUGAGGUAAUGGCUCACCAAGGCGACGACGGGUAGCCGGCCUGAGAGGGUGACCGGCCACACUGGGACUGAGACACGGCCCAGACUCCUACGGGAGGCAGCAGUGGGGAAUAUUGCACAAUGGGCGAAAGCCUGAUGCAGCAACGCCGCGUGAGGGAUGACGGCCUUCGGGUUGUAAACCUCUUUUAGUAGGGAAGAAGCGAAAGUGACGGUACCUGCAGAAAAAGCACCGGCUAACUACGUGCCAGCAGCCGCGGUAAUACGUAGGGUGCAAGCGUUGUCCGGAAUUAUUGGGCGUAAAGAGCUCGUAGGCGGUUUGUCGCGUCUGCUGUGAAAUCCCGAGGCUCAACCUCGGGUCUGCAGUGGGUACGGGCAGACUAGAGUGUG
rnacentral:rRNA from 1 species